AACUUAGCAGAGAUGCUUUGGUGCCUUCGGGAACUCUGAGACAGGUGCUGCAUGGCUGUCGUCAGCUCGUGUUGUGAAAUGUUCGGGUUAAGUCCCGCAACGAGCGCAACCCCUAUCCUUUGUUGCCAGCGAUUCGGUCGGGAACUCAAAGGAGACUGCCGGUGAUAAACCGGAGGAAGGUGGGGAUGACGUCAAGUCAUCAUGGCCCUUACGAGUAGGGCUACACACGUGCUACAAUGGCGCAUACAAAGAGAAGCGACCUCGCGAGAGCAAGCGGACCUCAUAAAGUGCGUCGUAGUCCGGAUUGGAGUCUGCAACUCGACUCCAUGAAGUCGGAAUCGCUAGUAAUCGUAGAUCAGAAUGCUACGGUGAAUACGUUCCCGGGCCUUGUACACACCGCCCGUCACACCAUGGGAGUGGGUUGCAAAAGAAGUAGAUAGCUUAACCUUCGGGAGGGCGUUUACCACUUUGUGAUUCAUGACUGGGGUGAAGUCGUAACAAGGUAGGCGUAGCGAG
rnacentral:rRNA from 1 species